UUUCAAUCCUUGAGACCAGGAAUUCUCAACUGUUUCCUUUCCAAGUUUAACCACAGCAGUUCCUGAAAAAAAUAAAUUAAAAAGUCUGUUUUGAAUAAAUAGUGUUCCGCUUCACAACAAGCUUGAAAAUCUCCGAUAUAGGCGAACAGCCAGCCUCCUCAGAGGUGAGACCUCUGUGGUUCCAAGGGGCUAGGGCCUUACUGGGGCACUCAUGGACAUCUCUCUCGGGUGGGUGAGGGACGGGAGUCAAGCAGCCUCUUGCUUAGCCCAGAGCUCUUGCUUCCAUGCCACACGCUCUCUUAUUCCAGCCCCUGACACUUAAUUCAAAUGGAGCUGGUUCCCCUCUUGUUUGAUUUUUUUCUACCUGUUCGGGAGCACUGUCCUUUCGAAACUAGGUUCACAGGAUCCUGCAUGGAGCUGUGGCUUUAGAGGAAGAUAGCGCCGGGAGCGCAGAGGAGAGAGACUGCCGAGGUGUAACGUCUGGACAGCUGCCUCAGGCCUCUGCCUCCUUGCAGUGACAGCCUAAAGUUCCGAUAAGCUCCCUGGAUCACUUAUUAUUUCUUCUGGGCCUCCUGCUUAUUCUUUGGUGAAGCCUCUGCUUCUGUACUGUUGGAGGACUGGGGGAGGGCGUCACGGAGCUGAAGGUUUGCAUAGCUUUGGGGUCCUGACGGGUCCUGCUCUCUGUCCCUCAGGUUCCCAGCUCCUCCCUACAGAACAGGCUCCCCACCUCCGGGAAGGAGAGCCACAGGUUCUGAGCAACGCACUGGUGUCCAGGACCCUCGCGCUAUUCCAACGAGGGCUGCCCCAGAGCAUCCCCCGCCUCCCCGUUGCGAAGCUGAAGACGGAAAAAUCACAGUAAGUCCCCUAUAUAUGAAUGAGUUUCAUUCUGAAAGCAAACUCCAGCAAAGUUAGCCUAGGUACUAAGGAAUGGAGUCUUUCCUACUGUAUCAGGAAACAAGGGUGUCACAGUCAGCAGCGAG
rnacentral:lncRNA from 1 species